rnacentral:rRNA from 1 species
GACGGAGGAUGCAAGCGUUAUCCGGAAUGAUUGGGCGUAAAGCGUCCGCAGGUGGCAGUUCAAGUCUGCUGUCAAAGACCGGGGCUUAACUUCGGAAAGGCAGUGGAAACUGAACAGCUAGAGUAUGGUAGGGGCAGAGGGAAUUCCUGGUGUAGCGGUGAAAUGCGUACGAGAUCAGGAAGAACAUCGGUGGCGAAGGCGCUCUGCUGGACCAUAACUGACACUCAGGGACGAAAGCUAGGGGAGCGAAUGGG